GCCGCGUGGUUAGGCGCGUUGCAUUGUGGGAGCUCCUUCCUUUCCUCGUUCCCCGGCCAUCUUGGAGGCGCUUUUCUGGAAACGGCCGGCCCGACCUGAGCCGCAAGGAUGGUGGCCGCCAAGAAGACG